CCUACGGGUGGCUGCAGUGAGGAAUAUUGGUCAAUGGUCGGGAGCCUGAACCAGCCAAGCCGCGUGAGGGAUGAAGGUACAGCGUAUCGUAAACCUCUUUUGCCAGGGAACAAAGGCGGGGACGUGUCCCCGGAUGAGUGUAACUGAGGAAAAAGCAUCGGCUAACUCCGUGCCAGCCGCCGCGGUAAUUAGGAGGGUGCGAGCGUUAUCCGGUUUUAGUGGGUUUAAAGGGUGCGCGGGCGGGCUGGUAAGUCAGCGGUCAAAGCCCGGGGCUCAACCCCGGCCCGCCGGUGAAACUGGCAGUCUCGAGUUGGAGAGAAGUAUGCGGAAUGCGCGGUGUAGCGGUGAAAUGCAUAGAUAUCGCGCAGAACCCCGAUUGCGAAGGCAGCAUGCCGGCUCCACACUGACGCUGAGGCACGAAAGCGUGGGUAUCGAACAGGAUUAGAUACCCCGGUAGUC
rnacentral:rRNA from 1 species